CAAGCCGCCUGCAGUGGAAGCAUGGAGUCUUAACCACUGGGGUGCCAGGGAAGUCCUGUAAAGUCCCUCUUUUACUUUGCUGUCUCAGCGAGAGAAAGACGGCCCCCUGCCAGGACUUGCCAGUCUGAUUGUCAUCCACUCCAACUCUUCUGUUUCUCUGAGGCCCAGUGCAGCCAGUCCACGCCUGCUUCCCCGCCACAGCCCAGCGCUGAGCCCCGGGGGGCGGAGGCCUUCGUCCACUGAAGUCUUGAACCCCUCAAAGUCAUCUAAGAGAGUUGGAGUCAACUACUCCCAGGCUCCUCUUAAUGUUGAUAUUUUGACCUCUUCUGAUGAAUCAUGAAUGUUCUUCAUGGCAUCUAAAGUGGUCUGUACUACCUAAAGUGAAGGCAUAAGGCAAGAAAGAGGAAGACUUGAGAUCCAUGAAAAGGAUAUCUAAUACCAGGGAGUCCCUGGUGUUGCUUAAAGGAUGACAGCUGAGUUACAGUCCUAGAUGGUAGCCAGCCCAGAGUAGAGAAGGUCAGAAGGUUCCAGGAGGGAUUUCUUUAAGAAGAUGACACUGACAGAAGACUUCGUAAUUUACUUUCACCUGACAGGCACAGCAAUAUACCUUUACUUCUAUGAGAGUCUACUCCAUAUGUUUGAAUAUAAUGAGAAGACAUUUAUAUAUCAGAGGUUCAGUUAGGAAUAAAUACCUAGAAAACUAGGCA
ensembl:lncRNA